GCAUCAAUGGGGUAGUGGUAACCUGGGUCGUUGCCAUCUCAAUCGAUUACAUAUGUACUGUGUCGACCCGCCGGGGGUUCGAUUCCCCCUUGAUGCA